GACAACGACCGUACCAUCCUGAACGCGCCUGAUCUCUUCUGAUCUCAUAAGCUAAGCAGGGUCGGACCUGGUUAGUACUUGGAUGGGAGAACUUUUGAUGUUUUGGUUC
rnacentral:rRNA from 1 species